rnacentral:rRNA from 1 species
GACAGAGGGUGCAACCGUUGUUCGGAUUUACUGGGCGUAAAGCGCGUGUAGGCGGCUUUGCAAGUCGGAUGUGAAAUCCCACGGCUCAACCGUGGAAGUGCAUCCGAAACUGCAUCGCUGGAGUCUCGGAGAGGAAGGUGGAAUGCUUGGUGUAGAGGUGAAAUUCGUAGAUAUCAAGCAGAACACCUGCGGCGAAGGCGGCCUUCUGGACGAUGACUGACGCUGAGACGCGAAAGCGUGGGGAGCAAACAGG